ACCCUGACUGCCUGAAGCAUUGCCUCUACCUCCGCCUCUUCCUCUGCCAACCGGUUGUGAACCUCUAGGAGCAGGGCUCUGAAUAGAUCCUUCUGCAGUUGUAGGAGCUGGACCAAAUCUAGGAGCACUAGUGCAAUCUUUUGGAAGAUGGCCCUUGCCUCCACAGUUAAAGCAGGCUCCUGUUGCCCAAUAGCAUUCUCCCCCAUGAAUCUUGCCACAAGUCUCACAGGGGCGGGU
rnacentral:misc_RNA from 1 species